CCUACGGGAGGCAGCAGUGGGGAAUAUUGCACAAUGGGGGAAACCCUGAUGCAGCGACGCCGCGUGAGUGAAGAAGUAUCUCGGUACGUAAAGCUCUAUCAGCAGGGAAGAAAAUGACGGUACCUGACUAAGAAGCCCCGGCUAACUACGUGCCAGCAGCCGCGGUAAUACGUAGGGGGCAAGCGUUAUCCGGAUUUACUGGGUGUAAAGGGAGCGGAGACGGCAGCACAAGUCUGGAGUGAAAUCCCGGGGCUUAACCCCGGAACUGCGUUGGAAACUGGGCGGCUGAAGGGCAGGAGGGGUAAGCGGAAUUCCUAGUGUAGCGGUGAAAUGCGUAGAUAUUAGGAGGAACACCGGUGGCGAAGGCGGCUUACUGGACUGUAACUGACGUUGAGGCUCGAAAGCGUGGGGAGCAAACAGGAUUAGAUACCCGGGUAGUC
rnacentral:rRNA from 1 species